ACGCAUGCCUGGAGCUCGCCGACGUGGCCGUCAUGCGAGCAGUAAAAACUCAUACUUCUACUGCUCCCACUCUCCUCCAUUUCACCCUGCUGUUUUUCACCGUCGCAAGCUGAGCCAGUCGAGCAGCACCGCCGCUGGCCGAAACCACCACUCCGCCGCUCCUCUCCUCAUUUCCGCCCGCUCAAAGCUCCGCCUUAAGCUCCUGUACACGCUCAGCAAGCUACCACUCCACUCCCUCCACCGCAGCGCUCCAUCAUCGUUGUCUUCCUCAAGCCCGGCCGCUACUUCGUUCUGGUAAGAACCGCCGCCGUGCAGGUCUUGGUUACUGGGGUUUGGGUCACUGAGUAAAGGCUCAGGUGAGCUUCUCGUGAGCCAAGGAUGGUGUUGAGGCCGCUCGUUGACUUAAAGCAUGGUUAGGUUGGCCGGAACGCCGUCACCGCCGUGUGUGCCCGUCGCCGCCAUGGCCGCCAUAGCGGAGCUUUAUACUCUAGCCAUGGAACGCCCUGUUUUGGGUGAGCUUUGCGUGUCCUAGGUCGAGGCGAAACUGCUACGCGAGCUUGUUGCCGUGGAGUCGCCGCCGUUGUGCUGCCCGCCGGAAGAACCCUAGCGCCGCCCGGUCCGCCACUGUUCGCCAUAGACUCCGGUCGAGCCACCUCAGCGUCACCACCAGUGUGGGCGCGUCGUUGAGGCGAGUCAAGCCAGCAAGUCGCCAUCGCCGGAGACCUCGCCGCCGGCGAGUUGAGGCGCAUACCCGCACCGGUGCCCACGGCCAAGGCUGGGAGUACUGUGUGCUGACCGGGCCCGCGAAGCAGUGAGAGAGGGGUAGAGGGGGGGUGCGUGAGAAGAGUUUUUGGGGGGUUUGGAUAAUCAUAGAUUUUCUUUUGACAGAUAAAUAGAUUAAAUUCAGUUCUCACCAUUUAAUUCACUGGAAAUUCUAGAAAUGUCAAAAAAUAGUGAAACCAAUUUUAUUAGGAUUGUUUUAUUUUCCUUUAUGCUUUAAAAUUCUUAAACCCUAGGAAAGGUAAUAAAAUUUAGGUAUUUAUUUAAUGCCUUUUGAUUAAGGUAUUUAAAUAAAUGCUUAACCUUUAUUAAAUGCAUAAAAUUUUGAAUAAUGUUUCCUUAUUCACAAAUUAUUAUUAAAAUAUAGGAAUUAAGUUUUGAGAUUGGAAAAUUAUUAUAAUACUUUUCUAAAAUAAAAGAAAGGCUUAGGUAGGUUAGUAAGGAAAUUAAAUUUGUGGGUUAAUCUUUAUGGGUAGUUUAGUGUUGGCUUGCAACUUUAUCAUGAAGGAAAGUUGUAUAGUCAUGUGUUCAAAAGUUUGCAUCUCUAACUCCUGCAUGUACUAAAUCGUAGACGUCGAAGCUCCUGAAGUGGAAUUCGUGGAAUUCAUCUGAAGAUUGUAAGCUUCUUUUACUAAAGGGGUUUUCCGAAGGACUAACAUUUGUUGAUCCCAGGCAAGCCCCGGUGCAUCUAUACCUACCUACUUUGGAGUUAUUAUUUCAUGUCUCCAAUUAUUGGUUAUUUUCCAUAUGAAUGCAUUAAGUCUAGGAGUUGGUUGAAACCUAUUCUUGUGCAUGAUCCUACCUUGUUUAGAGGACAUCUUUGCCACUUGUUCGCUAAUUAGUAACUAUCCUAUGCUUAGCAAUGCUUAGAUACCUAUGAGUAAUUUUGGUUACUCAACGCUAAGGCUAAGAUGGUCAUACAUGUUAAUCAAGGAAAUGGCCUGAGAUUUUGGAAAUGCGGACAGAAGCUAAAGAUGGUAGUUCUAUCAGCUAAGUUAAUGUGGUUAAGGACUGUUCGUUGUCUUAACCUUUGAUCAAGUGAUUUUACCUGGUUGCAAACUGGGUAUGGGACCAGCAAAGCUUGGUAGGUUAGUUGGCUCUCUAAUCGGGAAUAUUUCGUACCUGUGCUUGACGUGCUGGAGAAUGGCAGGGGCGUAGCCUGAAACUCACAUGGAGACUAGGAUAGACGUGAGGUCCCAUGUGGGGGUGCGUCCCUGGGUUCGGGUAGUCAUAUUCCCAAUCUUUGAAUACAACUAAUUGAAAGGUUGUUGUGUACAACCCGUACAGUUGUACAUGGCUGGUGGUCGGGUAUCUCCUACAGGAUGUAAAUUGGUCCGGAUCGCCGCAAUUCUCGGAUAUGAAUGCACUUGAUCAUUGCUUGAGCAUCGUAGUGUAACAAAGAGAAGGGAACCGUUUGCUUUGAAUAAAUAUGUUGUAUGACUUAGUUCCAUCUGGUUGCUAAAAUAUUUUCGUCAUCUAGACUGGUCAGGUAACGAACUCAAUCUAAAGUAAAAGAUAAAACUAAGGUUUCACUUAUAGUAAGCUCUUUCUGCAAAAAUGUGAGUCAGCCAAUACACCAUAAAGCUAUCAUACCGUAUACAAAAAGUAUUUAUAUUGGUUAGACGGGUGAGACUUGCUGAGUACUUCGUGGCUGUCCUCCAUCGCCUCGCCAAGUUCGCGCAGGCUGGCGACAAGCCCGUUGAUGCGAUUCGUGAAGUCGUCGACAGACUCCCCAUCGCGGAACGCGACAUUCUCGAACUCCUUCAAGAGACGUUGCACGCUCGCGGACUUCACGCGAUCAUCGCCGACCCUCAUCUUCUUCACCGCGUCCCACGCUUCUUUCGCCGACUUCUUCACGACGAGCCCGGCCUUCAUCUUCGACGGCACCGCGCGCAAGAUGGCGGCCAACGCCCGCCGAUCCUUAGCACGCUCCUUGCAGACUGCCUCCACGGCAUCCCAGAGCUCCAUCGCCUCCAGGGAUACCUGCAUAACCAAGAACCACUCAUGGUAAUUGGUUUUGGUCAGCAGCGGCAACUCAACAGUGGUGGCGUUCGCCACCACGACUGGACACGGUGAGCUGCUAGAGCCGUCCUUGUCGCCAAGGUUGAUGCGCGGCUUCUUCGGCCCGAGGGACGACAUCUUCGAUCACCUUAGCUCUGAAUACCAAAUGUUGGCUUCGCCCAGGAACUCUCUAUCUCUCUUGCUCUAAGUAACUCAACUCGAGCAUGCACUCAGAGCAACAAUGGCGAUGAACGCCGCGGCCGCGAACUGGCCUGUAUCUUGGCGAGCUUUAUUCACUGGACUUGGCAAAACAAUACAGAGGAGCUCAGGGGCUACAUAUAGGCUACGAACUUACCAGGAGCUAACCUCCACGUCCGGCCUUCCCGCAUGCACCUCCUCGACCUUCCUGCUCGCUAACUGACUAACAGACUAACAAACUCAAUCUAUCCAACACCGGCCACGCAACAAACUUGCAUGCACGCGCGCUCAUGCUGCACCACCACGCCGGCACCCGUGCACACACUCGACCGCAUGGAUGGACACACCAAUAGCGUGGUUUAUUCCUAACAUGCUCCCCCUAAACCACGACACCCCCUAACGCCCAACCUACAGGAGUGUCGGCUCAUCAUCGUGUCAAAGUCCGUAAACAUCUCGAUCACCACAGCAACCUACUUCAUCUUCUUCGGGAUUACGCGCAGGAUCUUCUUCACCACGCGGCUGUCCUCCAUCGCCUUGCCAAGUUCGCGCAGGCUGGCGACAAGCCCGUUGAUGCGCAUCGUGAAGUCAUCGACAGACUCCCCAUCGCGGAACGCGACGUUCUCGAACUCCUUCAAGAGACGUUGCACACUCGCGGACUUCACGCGAUCAUCGCCGACCCUCAUCUUCUUCACCGCGUCCCACGCUUCUUUCGCCGACUUCUUCACGACGAGCCCGGCCUUCAUCUCCGACGGCACCGCGCGCAAGAUGGCGGCCAACGCCCGCCGAUCCUUAGCACGCUCCUUGCAGACUGCCUCCACGGCAUCCCAGAGCUCCAUCGCCUCCAAGGAUACCUGCAUAACCAAGAACCACUCAUGGUAAUUGGUUUUGGUCAGCAACGGCAACUCGACAGUGGCGGCAUUCGCCACCGCGACUGGACGCGGUGAGCUGCUAGAGCUGUCAUCGUUGCUAAGGUCGAUGCGCGGCUUCUUCGGCCCGAGGGACGACAUCUUCGAUCACCUUAGCUCUGAAUACCAAAUGUUGGCUUCGCCCAGGAACUCUCUAUCUCUCUUGCUCUAAGUAACUCAACUCGAGCAUGCACUCAGAGCAACAAUGGCGAUGAACGCCGCGGCCGCGAACUGGCCUGUAUCUUGGCGAGCUUUAUUCACUGGACUUGGCAAAACAAUACAGAGGAGCUCAGGGGCUACAUAUAGGCUACGAACUUACCAGGAGCUAACCUCCACGUCCGGCCUUCCCGCAUGCACCUCCUCGACCUUCCUGCUCGCUAACUGACUAACAGACUAACAAACUCAAUCUAUCCAACACCGGCCACGCAACAAACUUGCAUGCACGCGCGCUCAUGCUGCACCACCACGCCGGCACCCGUGCACACACUCGACCGCAUGGAUGGACACACCAAUAGCGUGGUUUAUUCCUAACAUGCUCCCCCUAAACCACGACACCCCCUAACGCCCAACCUACAGGAGUGUCGGCUCAUCAUCGUGUCAAAGUCCGUAAACAUCUCGAUCACCACAGCAACCUACUUCAUCUUCUUCGGGAUUACGCGCAGGAUCUUCUUCACCACGCGGCUGUCCUCCAUCGCCUUGCCAAGUUCGCGCAGGCUGGCGACAAGCCCGUUGAUGCGCAUCGUGAAGUCAUCGACAGACUCCCCAUCGCGGAACGCGACGUUCUCGAACUCCUUCAAGAGACGUUGCACACUCGCGGACUUCACGCGAUCAUCGCCGACCCUCAUCUUCUUCACCGCGUCCCACGCUUCUUUCGCCGACUUCUUCACGACGAGCCCGGCCUUCAUCUCCGACGGCACCGCGCGCAAGAUGGCGGCCAACGCCCGCCGAUCCUUAGCACGCUCCUUGCAGACUGCCUCCACGGCAUCCCAGAGCUCCAUCGCCUCCAAGGAUACCUGCAUAACCAAGAACCACUCAUGGUAAUUGGUUUUGGUCAGCAACGGCAACUCGACAGUGGCGGCAUUCGCCACCGCGACUGGACGCGGUGAGCUGCUAGAGCUGUCAUCGUUGCUAAGGUCGAUGCGCGGCUUCUUCGGCCCGAGGGAAGACAUCUUCGAUCACCUUAGCUCUGAAUACCAAAUGUUGGCUUCGCCCAGGUGUCGGUGUUUUAGACCGGCAACCCGCCUAGGGGUACCCUAGGUGGUCUUUUAUGCAGUAAGGGUCGUCGAGAAUCAAGGAAUCAAUGGUGACGCAAGGAACACGAUUUAGAUAGGUUCGGGCCACUAGAUCGCGUAAUACCCUACGUCCUGUGUGUUGGUUUGUAUUGAUGUAUGUUCUGGUCCUGAGGGAUCUGUCUUGAGGGGGGUCCCUGCCCGGCCUUAUAUACCCGGGAGGGCAGGGUUACAAGUCUGAGUCCUAGUCGGGUACUAUUACAGAGUUCUACUCGGUAUCGUCCCGAGUAGUUUUCCAUAAACAAACAAGACUCGUCCGAGUAGGAUACGCCCAUCCUUGUUCUGAUCACGUCCGAGUACGUCCUUUAGUGGGCCAUCCAAGGCCUACUCGUGGAUUCGGGGAGUAGUCCCGACAAGCCCCCGAGUACUUUGUAGUCGUGCGCCAUAGUCUUGGGCGCUGUAGGCACUACCCGAGUAGUUUCACGGACUGAAGUGCUCGAGUACUGUCACGUGGCUGGAAGGUAUUCUUUCUGCAGUUUCGAGUUGUCUCCGUCCCGAGUAGUUUUUUAUAUGGUAGUGCGAUGUCAAUCGCACUCCAUAUGGAGUAGCCCCUAGGCCUUAGGUUGAGUCGAAGACUCAGGCUUAGGGUUAAACCAGUUUUUGCCCAUUUUACCCUCGGAGAUUUUGAAAAAGAAAAAACUGACAAACGGGUACGGUACCCGCAGCCCCCGAGCACUUAGGCGAUUCCUGUCGUUGAAGUGGUCAUCAAUCCGUUGACUCUAGUAGCCGUUGGGUGUUUAUGGCGAUUAAUACGCGAUUUGAUCUGUCCGUUGCGCAACUGACGCGUCGAAUCCGGAGCCGGUGGAGAUAAAUCUGGAACAGCCCCCUUUGCAGUUGUCGUGACGCCGUACAGGCAUUAGAUUUGUUUUUCAUCUUCCUCCUCUGUGCCUUCGUUCGCUGUGCCACCGCCGCCAGUGCUGCCGCCUUCGCCACUUCCACUUUUGUGAGGUAGAUCCGAGUGGAAAUCUCUUCCCUAGGGCGAGGUUGAAUCCAUCAAAUGCACUCCAAGAAGAUGGGCAAGAAACCCGAGAAGAUCCAAGGCAAGGUUCUGGCAACGAGCAAGGUUAGAUCCAAAAAGGGGAAGGAGUUGGUGCUGCCGGCGCCAAAAGUGGGGCCGACGAAUCAAACUGCUCCGCCACCACCUGGGGCAACUUGGCAACACUCAAUGAUGAAGGAAGAGGGAGUCCAAGCACUGGUUGAUGCCAAGCUUCUUCAGCCGAAGGAAAUCGUGUAGUGGCACCCCGCAUUUCCUAACGCGUGGCAGUUCGAGGAGCACCCGGUGGAGACGGUGAUGCUUGCUCACUUCGUGGAAAGGGGACUGGCCGUGCCUACCUCUGACUUCUUCAGAGGUAUUCUCGAGUACUACAAUCUUCAGCUCGUCCACUUGAAUCCCAAUGGAGUACUGCACAUGGCUAUAUUUGUACGUUUGUGUGAAGUUUUCCUGGGAGUACCUAAGUCUCGAGCUAUUCAGGAAAUUGUUCCAUUGCAAGCCUCAGCCGAGUGCCCAGCGGACGGAGGUUUUUGGAGGUGCCGGGUUCCAACUCAAGAACUCGAAUGCAUAUAUCGAGUAUAAUCUGACCGACUCCCAUGGGGACUGGAAGAAAAGGUGGUUCUACAUCGGGAACCAUGAUCCUCGCCUGCCUGUGGUGACUGGUCACGCGCCCAAGCAUGCGGAAAAUUGGGUAAGCGAGCCUGAGGAUACCCCGGAGCUUGAUCUUCAGAUGCAGCAGAUCACCGAGUUGAAAGCACUCGGUUUGACUGGGAUCAAUGUGGCAGCCAGCUUUGUGAAGAGAAGGGUCCAGCCACUUCAAAAACGCGCUCACCCGGGAAGUGAGUACAAGGGUCUGAAAGAUCCUUCGCGUAUGUCUGAGGAGGACAUAUUUGACGAUGACGUGGAGGCGCUACUAGCGAAAUUCUUCAGGAACUAUCAGGGAGUUCCAGUGAUCCCUGCGGCCCUUCGCCAGUAUGAAUCCUGGUACGAGCCAGAGGUGGUAAGUAUUUCCUUCCUGACUUGGUUUAUUUUGACUUGUAAUUCUUGUUGCUGACACCGAUUUUGCUGUUUAGAAGUCCCGAGUACUUGAUGGCUAUGUGGCACAGUCGGAAGAAGAGAUCGCCACCGGGGAGUCAGAGGACGAACCUUCUCCUCCUAUCAAGAGGCGCAGAGUAGUCCGCAAGAUGGCUGCGGCUAAGUCUGUUGCAACCACUGAAAAGUCUUGGGGUAUCACGGUAUGUAGUUGAUGACUUGUAUCUCACUGAUGAACUCGAGAUGCGUUAUUGAUGUAGUGAAUCUUUUCUUGGGUCAUGAAGGUUGUAGAUGAGUCUGUCUCUGAAGAGAUAGCCGCGUCCAAACCUGAAGUCGGUGACGCGACCGUUGACACAUUGCUAGAGAAAAUGCCGUCAACAGCUGUGGUAGCCCCCGAGUUAAUUGCGCCAACUCCAUCAGCUGCCGUGCCGCCCACUGCUGAUCAGGCGGUGCUGGGGCUUCCUGCUGGAGUAGCAAAGGAGGUGUCACCAGUACUUGCUACUGGCACCUUGCUGUCAAAUGUGAUCGCCAGUGGUGAGUGAUGUUCUUUUCAAUUGUAGUCAUUUGAGUAGUACUGUAGUCUUGACCUCGGCUUCGUAGGUCUUGGUGAGGAGAUGGCGCCGGCAGUUGUCCCCGCGGCUCCGAAUACUGAGCCGCUUGUCGUCGAGAAGAAACGUGUGCGACUGCCGCCACGCUCAACCUGGUGAUCCACCUUGUCUUGUUGGAUGCCGUUGGAUUUUCUAAAAAAUCAUGUAGUGACACUUUGGCGGUGCAGGGAUGCAGAGGAAACUAUCCCUGUAGAAACAGGGGUAGUGCCAGAUCCCUUGACUACAACAUCUGUUCCUUUUGAGGACAUGUUUGUUGAAGAGGUACCCGAAGUUGACCCGGGUCAUCUUGGAGCUACGAUGUCGAUGCUUCAAGACAUGAUUCGCUCAAUAGAGGAGCCUACUGCUGCAUCAGGCUCGGGGAGUGCCGGCCUAUCCUCAUCCUCUAGCGGAGUGCUGGUUGUAGUUGAGAAAUCCAAGCGAGCGACUGCUCUAGGUAAAUGCCUGUAUUUUGUUAUUGUAGUCGUGGUCUUAUGAUAUAGUAAAAGCCUGUAUUACUGUAGCUGAUAUGGUGAAUGUUGUAGGUGCUGCUCUGGGUACAGUUCCUCUUGUGGAGAAAACCCAAAGGCCAGUACUUAGCCUGCCUUCUGACUCGGAGCUCCAGAGGGCCAUGGGUGUGUUCCGGGGCGUCCAGGUAGAUAUUGCUGAUGUUACUGCAGUACCCGAGUAGUCGUGAGGCGUGAAACUUACCACAACGUACUCGGACCUUUUCAGGAAAGAAACCACAGGCUGGAGCAGGAGUGCGCUCGACUGAGAGAAGCGCUUCGUGUUCAUGAAGUCGGGGCAAAAUCCUUUGCCGUGGAACGUGCGGAUCACGCUGUUCUGCAGGAGAAACUGGAGAGCCGCUAUAAAUCCUUGAACAAGAAGUAUCAAGGUAAGCAUUACGACUGCUUUGGGUGUGUCCAACUGUAGUUGGCUGUGGCCUAAGUUCUUUUGCUUUGUAGAGCUCAAGAAAUAGGAGGUGUCUGCAAGGAGCCAGGUUAUUGAUUGGAGGAACGCUCACGACCGAGUAGCGGAUGAAGCUGAACAUCUUCGGGCUGCGCUCACGGAAGCAGAGGCUGCUUGCGAGCAUCAGCGAGACCGGAAGAUGCAAAACGGCGUGAUGCUCGCCAUGGCCAUGGUGACAUGCAGAGAUCAUGCCCAGACCUUGGGAAGGCUUCGGGGUGAACUCCAAGACUUGUCCGGAGCGGCCGAAGACUUGGUUAAUGCUAUAGCCCCCAUAGAGGAAAGCGUAGAGCCGCAAUCACUAGUGGAGCGACUAAGAGCCGCCCCGAGUAAGGUGGCGGGACUCUGCAAGACUGUUUGCAAACAGGUUCUUGCAGUUGUGAAGUCCUAUUACCCGAGGGCAGACUUGGCGGCAGCUGGAGAUGGCAUGGCUCGCAACUGCACAGAUGAAGUAUAUGCGCAGUACCUCGAGGAGGCGGAGCCCAUUGCCGCUAAGAUGUCGGAGUUCGUCUCCUUAGAAGAAAUUUGAGCUUUUGUAUGACCCUUCUUCUUGUACCGAGUAUGUUGAUACUUCUGAAUAUCAAGAUUUUGGAUUUUGGAGUGUGUUGUCUUUCAAAAAAUGUUGUUGAAUCUUCAAAAUGUUGCAACUCUGCUGUGCCUGAUCUUUCAAGGGUGGAGCUCCACCUCGCCCGACCUUGAGUCCUGGAGUCAGAGGUGCCCGACCCUUCGAGGGAGGGACUCCGCCUCGCCCGACCCCGGGUCCUGGGGUCGGAGGCGCCCGACCCUUCGAGGGUGGAACUCCGCCCCGCCCGACCCUAGGUCCCAGGGUUGGAGUAGUCAGAGCCUCCAUCAUGUAAGCUAAGCUUCGCGUGUAGUAGUCCCGAGAGUCGAGUAGUCGUAAUGCUGUUUGAGUACUCGUCUCCUGAAGGACACGGGUGUACUGUACUCAGCUGUCCUUUGUUAAUGUACGGGUGUACUGUUGUCUUUUGUCCGUUGCAGAGGCAUGGGUGUACUGUGCUCCUUUGUCUGUUGCAACAUGAGUGCAGGCACAUGGGCAGAGUCAGAAGUUGUCAGACCUAUUGAUCACGGGUGCGCAGUAACUCUUUGGCCGGUGGUAGGUGUAGCUUUCGGUAUAAAUAGGGCCAUCUGCUGGUCGAACCAACUCAAGCUCCUGAGUAGCAAUGGAUUGCCUGUGGUUGCUUCUUUUUUAGUGUAGAGAGCCAGCAAAGAGCACGCCGGUGCUAGAAGAUUCCUCGUAGAUUAAGGCCACCUUGCCUCCACAGGCUCUUGCACUCGUAGGGAUAGCCGCGAUGCUAGAAGAAUCCUCGUAGGAGGGUUCAUCGCCUGCCUCAUCUCGUAGCUACUGAUCUAGUGGAGUACGCGCUGGAACUCGCGGCGAGUGAUGGGUGAUGAGUGCCGCGGUCUUCAUCCCGCUCUGGAAGGUGGUGGAGGUGCGGCCGUAGAGUAGAUAGGCCUCGCAAGGCUAGCAAAAGAGCAGCCUUGGUUCCCUCUAGGCGCGUCUUCCUAGUUUUGAUGUUGCCGCUAUCCUGGUGAUGGCGGUAAUGGAGUACCUGGACGUGCCUUGGGUAGGAUACUUGGGCGUGGCUGCGUUUUGCGCAGCUUCCUUGCGUGUAAGCCCUUCCUGCGGUCGGCAGACCUGAGUGGCCUUGUGAUAUAGUAAAAGCCUGAGGCUUAAAUGCAGCCCGCCAGUAGGCAGUUGCUUGUAGUGUUUGUUGAGCCGAGUCCUUGUACUCGUUAUGUAAUCUUGAUGUACUCUUGUUUCAGUAAAGAUAUGAAGAAUUUGUAUCAGGGCAAGUUUCCUUGUUGUAUUGAUAGCGCGUUGAAGCGAACACCCCUUGAAGUCGGCAGUCGAGUAGUCGUCCCGAGUAGUCCCCUUGGAGUGAGUACUCGAGUGCUGCUAUGGGUAAUAGCGACAGAGGUGUUCUAUAUUCCAAGAGUUUGGCACCUGUUCGCCUGAAACCUCUUGGAGUCUGUAAGAUCCGGGUCCUGUAACCUUUGAUACGAUGUAAGGACCUUCCCAUGGUGAAUUGAGUUUAUGCAAUCCUGAUGUGUCUUGAAUACGCUUAAGGACCAUAUCGCCCGAGUUGAAAGAUCUUUCCUUGAUGUUGCGAUCGUGAUAACGCCUUAAACCAUCAAGGUAUCUGGCAGAUUGCACAAGUGCUGCGCAUCUUGUUUCUUCCAAACUGUCGAUAUCCGUUCAUCGCGUUUCUAUCGCAAGUUCUUCGUCGUAUUGUUCAACGGGUGGUGAUUGCCACAUGAUGUCAGCGGGUAGUAUGGCUUCUGAACCAUAUACCAGAAAAUAAGGUGAAAAUCCCGUAGUCUUGCACGGUUGGAUACGCAGGCCCCACAAGGUGUUGGGUAACUCUUUGAGCCAUCGAUCGCCUUUGAUGUUGCCGACGUCAUGUAGUCGUUUCUUCAGAGCAUCGAGUAUCAUGCCAUUAGCACGCUCGACUUGACCGUUGGCUCGCGGAUGAGCAACCGAGACAUAGCGGACGUCGAUGCCGCUGUUCUCGCAAUACUCCCAGAAGUCAUGAUUGUUGAAGUUUGACCCGAGAUCGGUGAUAAUCCUGUUGGGAAAACCAUAACGAUGUACGAUUUCAUCCAAGAAGUCGAGAACUCGGUCUGCCUUUGGGCAAGUGACUGGUUUGACCUCGAUCCACUUGGUGAACUUGUCGAUUGCCACGAGUACUCUGUUGAAUUCUCCUGGCGCAGUUGGUAACGGACCAAUCAUGUCGAGCCCCCAGCAGGCAAAUGGCCAUGUUGGAGGUAUUGUGACCAGCUUGUAAGCCGGCACAUGUUGCUGUUUGGUCAAAAAUUGACAACCUUUGCACUUCUGAACUAGUUGCUUGGCGUCAGCCAGAGCCAUUGGCCAGUAGAACCCUGCUCUGAAGGCCUUGCCGACUAGUGUCCUCGAAGAGGCGUGGUUGCCGCAAAUUCCUUUGUAAAUUUCUUCUAGGAUUUCUUGGCCAUCUUCUCUGGUGACGCACUUCAUGAGUACUCCAGAUGAUGCACCUUUCCUGUAGAGUUUGUCCCCGACUAGAACGUAAUUCUUUACUCGUCGGGAGAUUUUCUCAGAUUUAUUCUUGUCGGAUGGUAGCUGGUGAUCUUUGAUGUAGUCAAUGAAGGGUGUCCUCCAGUCGACUUCUAUCAUCAUGAUCUCUCGGGAGGCGUCAGUAGUCAGGACUACUGGCGGUGUGACCUGCUCGGGUAUGGAUGGCUUGCGUAGCUCGUGUACGAAAAUUCCUGCUGGAACUUCUGCACGAGUUGAGCCCAUUUUGGAUAAGACGUCGGCGGCAACGUUGUUGUCGCGGACGAUGUGAUGGAACUCCAAGCCGGAGAAUUUGUUUUCCAGUUUACGGACUUCUUUGCAGUAAGCGUCCAUGUUGUCCUUGUUGCGGUCCCACUCGUCAUUGACUUGGUUUAUGACGACUAGAGAGUCGCCGUACACCAGUAGUCGUUUGAUGCCGAGGGAAAUUGCGAGGCGAAGGCCGUGUAAUAGUGCUUCGUACUCGUCUUCGUUAUUGGAUGCUUCCCAGAAUAUCUGCAGCACGUACUUGAGUUGGUCUCCCUUGGGGGAGAUGAGUAAGAUGCCGGCGCCGGCCCCUUCAAGUUUGAGGGAUCCGUCGAAGUACAUUACCCAAUGCUCUGGUCGCUCGACUGGAGUUGGGACCUGAUUUUUGGUCCACUCGGCUAUGAAGUCGACCAAAGCCUGAGACUUGAUGGCUGUCCUUGACUUGAAACUCAAAGUAAGAGCUCCGAGUUCGACUGCCCAUUUGGAGAUUCGACCCAUGGCAUCUCUGUUAUGGAGAAUUUCACCAAGCGGGAAGUCGGAGAUGACUGUGAUGCUGUGCUCUUGGAAGUAAUGGCGCAGCUUCCGGGAGGUGAGCAGGAUAGCAUAUAAUAGUUUUUGUAUCGGUGGAUACCGAGUUUUGGAGUCCGAGAGUACUUCACUGACGAAGUAGACAGGUCGUUGGACCUUAUAAGCGUGGCCCGAUUCAGACCGUUCGACUACUAUUGCCGUGCUGACAACAUGAGUAGUAGCGGAGAUGUAUAGGAGCAAGUCCUUGUUCGGCGAGGGAGCGGUGAGUACAGGAGGCUUUGACAGAAAGUCUUUGAGUUGUGUAAAAGCCUGAUCUGCCUCUUCCGUCCACUUCAACUUGCCCGAUUGAGAAGCUUGAAGAAGGGUAGACCCCGUUCUCCAAGUCUUGAGAUGAACCGGUUGAGAGCGGCCAUGCAGCCGGUGAGUUUCUGCACAUCCUUAAUGCUGGCGGGAGCCUGCAUGUUUGUGAUGGCAGAUAUCUUCUUAGGGUUGGUCUCAAUGCCGCGAUGGCUAAUGAUGAACCCGAGUAGUUUGCCGGAAGGUACUCCGAAGACGCACUUAGUAGGAUUGAGUUUCCAUCGAAAAGCGCGGAGACUGGAGAAAGUUUCCUCCAAGUCGGCAAUGAGUUCCUCCCGGUGUCUUUUUUUGACGACGACGUCGUCAACAUAAGCUUCGACAUUGCGAUGAAGUUGUUUUUCAAAGCACAUUUGUAUGGCCCUUUGGUAAGUUGCUCCUGCGUUCUUGAGUCUGAAGGACAUUGUUUUGUAGCAGAAAGCUCCAAAGGGCGUGAUGAAUGUUGUUUUGGCUUGAUCUUCCUCUUUGAGGCUAAUCUGAUGAUAGCUGGAGUAGCAAUCGAGGAAACAUAGCAGGGUGCACCCAGCGGUGGAGUCGACCACUUGAUCGAUUCUGGGUAACCCAAAAGGAUCUUUCGGGCAGUGUUUGUUGAGGUCGGUGUAGUCGACACACAUUCUCCAUUCGUUGUUUUUCUUGCGAACAAGCACAGGAUUGGCGAGCCAGUCAGGAUGGAAGACUUCCUUGAUGAAUCCUGCCGCGAGUAGCUUGGCUAACUCUUUUUUGAUGGCGUCGCGUCUGUCCCGAGCGAACCGGCGUAGUCGUUGCCGUUUUGGAGUAGCUUUGGGAUCGACGUUGAGGGAAUGCUCGAUCAGUUCCUUAGGCACACCUGGCAUGUCGGCUGGCUUCCAAGCGAAGAUAUCGUGGUUAGCCCGAAGGAAACUGACGAGUGUGAAUUCCUAUUUAGGAUCCAGCCCUGUUCCGAUCAGGGCGGUCUUGGAAGGAUCACCAGUCUGGAGGUCGAUCGAUUUAAAGUCUUGCUCGCUGGCGGGUUUCACCUUUGUGGAGCUCGACAUAUUUUCCGGGAUCUCGAGUUCAGUUGGAUGGAGUUUCUUUGAAGCUGUGAAGACUUGUUGCAUGGGACUAGGAGAUUGAGUAGUCGCAGCAAUUUCCACGGCUUCGGUGUCGCACUCGUAGGAUCACCGGAGGUCUCCUCGUAGCGUGAGUUCGCCCUUGGGACCUGGCAUCUUGAGUACCAGGUAGACAUAAUGUGGUAUGGCCAUAAACUUGGCAAGUGCUGGCCGUCCGAGUAUAGCGUGAUAAGAAGUCUCGAAGUCGGCGACCUCGAAUCUGAUGUACUCGAUGCGGUAAUGUUCUUUAGUUCCGAAGGUGACUGGGAGGACAACUUGCCCCAAUGGUAUGGCCGCAUUUCCAAGCACAAUGCCGUAGAAGGACGAAUCCGUUGGAGUAAGCAUGUCCGUGACGUCGAGGCACAUUUUCCUUAAUGUUUUGGUGAAGAUAAUGUUGAGACCGCUCCCGCCAUCGAUGAGUACUUUGGUUAACUUUGAACCUGCCACAACUGGAUCCAAGACUAGUGGAAAACAACGGGUUCUGAAAAUUUUGUCCAUUGAUCCUUUCUGCUGAAAGAAAUUGGAACUUCCGACCAUUUUAGCGGUGUGGGGUCCGUUGGGUCGAUGGCCAUGAUCUCCCUAAGUACGAGUUUGUUGGCUCGCUUGGAUGCUGUGCCAGGGAUGCCACCAAAAAUGACGUUGACGGUUUUCGAGGCUGGUUGGAAAUCGCCGUCUUCAUCUUCGUCGUUACAGGCUUUGUUUUUACCCUUGUCUCUGUUUUUGGCGUACUCUUCAGGAGUUGGUGGUGCUGGCAAGUCUUGCAUGACGCGGCGCAUGCUGUAACAGUCCAAUGCGAAGUGCUUGCUGGUCGGGUGCCAUGGGCACUACUUUUUGAGUAGCUCCGUGAAGGUUGUUCCGUCGUCGUUUCUGCGUUGUCCCUUUUUCCCGGAGCUGCUCAUGGCAGCAACAGUGUUGUUGAGCUUCCUUUUGCGAUUAUGAUUACCCGGAUAGGAAUUCCGAGCAUCGUUAUGACGAGUUUUAUCUGUGUCAUUGUUGUGGGUGUUGUCACGUCCACGGUUAUGGUGGGAACCGAACCGUUCACGUUCUUUGUCUUCUUCAUCGGCCCACUGUUGCACCAUGAGCUUGAGUUCUUUGACAUCGGCUGGCCGUCGGUGACCGAAGCCUUGGUAUGUUCGUCGAUCGUAGAGUCCGUUUUGGAAACACUCGAUGACGUCUGCUUCGGAGAUGUCUACUAUGGUAGCCUUCUUUUCGAAGAACCGUCGUAGAUAGUCACACAGGGUUUCGCCCUCUCUCUGCUUAAUUUGUUGUAAGUCAAUCUUGUUGCCUGGUCUAGCCAUGGAGCCGGCGAAGUUGUUGGUAAAAGCCUUUGUCAAGUCUGCCCAGGAGUCGAUGGACUUGGGUUUGAGUGACUCGAGCCAGGUCAGUGGUGCGGGUUCCAUGCAUAUGGGGAAGUGAAUGACUUUGGUGUCGUUGUUGGCCCCGGCUGCUUGGACGGCUAGCGAGUAACAGCGGAGCCAUUGAACUGGAUCUUGCUUGCCAUCGUACUUGGUAAUGCCGGUUGGUUUGAACUUUUCGGGUAAUUUUGUUUUCAUUACCCGGUUUGUGAAAGCGGGAAAGUGGUUGUAGCUGUCGACUUCUCGUUCACGCCAACUGUUGAGGAUUUCUCGUAGAUCGCUGAUGUUGGACAUCUCGUGGUUCUUCCGAGUAGGGCAGACGCUUUUAACCGAGUUGGUGCAGCUGGCUUCACCUACAUCCUUCUGUUGAGUAGGAGUUUUAUGCUUGCUCGGACCUUGGCUGUGUUGCCGGGGCUGGUUGACUACAUUAUCGUUUCGCUGGGCGACAUUUUUAUCUGCAGCCCCCCUGCUUCCGUCUGUAAUGCGAGGAACGGAUGGGAUUGGUGAUUCUUUGUCAAGCAACUUGUAAGCUUGCUCCGCGAGUUGUGCGAUUAGUCCGUUGCCACGCUGCACGAGUUGAGCUGUGGCUGCGUUAUCCUUGUCUUGAGGCAUCAGUGUCGUCAAAAGGUUGAUUGAAGCGAUAGUCGCGAGUGGAGUAUUGUGCUCCUGAGCCUGAACUGCGUUGAAAGCCCGUUCAAGAUUUGUAAUAGGGAUAUUUGUAGCCAUCGACUGUCGAUGCUCAGCUCGAGUGGUAUUGUGCGCCCUUCGUUGGUUGCGCUGUUCGGGAGUUUCAUUGUCGGUUGUGGAUUCAUCUUCAGAGAUGGUAUCGAUUUGUGCUAGUCGCCUGGGGGUUCUGUUCUGGCUAGUACCCGGAUUGUUAUUCUGAGUAAUAACAAGUAUUUCCCUGUCCGGGUAGUAGCUUCCGGAACUUGACGUAGCCAUCUCUGUGUAGCUUCCUUCGUGGUUGGAUGUAAGUGGAACGCCUUCUUGAAAUGGCAGGUUGUCUAUAUGAGCGACGAGGCGCGAGUCGUAGUUACGGUCGAAAAAAGAUGGUCGCAAUCCUGGCCAAUGGACGAAUCUGCCUUGUGGCGUUGAAGUUAUUACCAACCCUUGGGCUGGACCGGAUAAUGGUAUUUUUGGAGAGUAGGGCGAGUCGGAGUCAACGUCCUCGUCAUGCUCGAGUUCAACUCGGGUUCGAGCAAGAAAAUUUUGGUAGACUUUUGUCGUGUUGCGAAGUCCGUGCGGGAACCGCCUUGAAGUCGAGACCGAUUUGGAUGCUGACUGGGGCCGCUGAAUCUGAAGCGAGUCCGACCCUGAGUUCAGGGGUCGGCUGAGCUCAACCCUGUGAGGGAGUAGCUCCGCCUCGCCCGACCCUGAGUGGAAGUCCGCCUCGCCCGACCCCGAGUCCUGGGGUCGGGAGAGCCUGACCCCUGAGCGAGACUCCGCCUCGCCCGACCCCGAGGCCUGGGGUCGGCGGAGCUCGACCCUUUGGAAGGGUAGCUCCGCCUCGCCCGGCCUCGAGGCCUGGGGUCGGCGAAGCCCGACCCUGUGGAAAGGCAGCUCCGCCUCGCCCGACCCUGAGUGCUGGGGUCGGCGGAACCCGGCCCUUGAGCGAGGCAUUGGCGUAGUCCGAGACGAAGUCGAAUCCGACGCGUAGUCGAACAUGAGCUUGUUGACUUUGAAAUCUUGAUUUUUUCCGGUCACUUCUUCUGGUUUCGUCUCCUGAGUGUCGAUGAUCUGGCGCCGGAACGAUUCCGAGCCUUCGGCGACGUAGAGCCAGGAUCCGAAGACGAAGGUGGCGCUGGCUUCGAUGAAGAAGACGGGCCUGAUGAUGACUUUCGCCAUUGAGUUCGCGCUGAGAAACUCGACGAGUUCCCCUACCUGGCGCACCAGUUGUCGGUGUUUUAGACCGGCAACCCGCCUAGGGGUACCCUAGGUGGUCUUUUAUGCGGUAAGGGUCGUCGAGAAUCAAGAAAUCAAUGGUGACGCAAGGAACACGAUUUAGACAGGUUCAGGCCGCUAGAUCGCGUAAUACCCUACGUCCUGUGUGUUGGUUUGUAUUGAUGUAUGUUCUGGUCCUGAGGGAUCUGUCUUGAGGGGGGUGCCUGCCCGGCCUUAUAUACCCGGGAGGGCAGGGUUACAAGUCUGAGUCCUAGUCGGGUACUAUUAUAGAAAUCUACUCGGUAUCGUCCCGAGUAGUUUUCCAUAAACAUACAAGACUAGUCCGAGUAGAAUACGCCCAUCCUUGUUCUGAUCACGUCCGAGUACGUCCCUUAGUGGGCCGUCCAAGGCCUACUCGUGGAUCCGGGGAGUAGUCCCGACACCAGGAACUCUCUAUCUCUCUCGCUCUCAGUAACUCAACUCGAGCAUGAACUCAGAGCAACAAUAGCGACGAACGCCGCGGCCGCGAACCGGCCUGCAUCUUGGUGAGCUUUAUUCACUGGACUUGGCAAAACAAUACAGAGGAGCUCAGGGGCUACAUAUAGGCUACAAACUUACCAGGAGCUAACCUCCACGUCCGGCCUUCCUGCAUGCACCUCCUCGACCUUCCUGCUGUCUAACUGACUAACAGACUAACAAACUCAAUCUAUCCAACACCGGCCAUGCAACAAACUUGCAUGCACACGCGCUCAUGCUGCACCACCACGCCAGCACCCGCGCACACACUCGACCGCAUGCAUGGACAUACCAAUAGCAUGGUUUAUUCCUAACAUGCUCCUCCUAAACCCGGUCCCCACGGCCAACCCUCGCCGGCUUCCCCUCUGGCGCCCACUGCAACGCGCCCCCUUAGCCCGCGUUCCCUCGCAUCCGCUCUCUCUCCCAAUGUCGCGCCCUUCUUCCCUUCGGGCGCGUCAGGAGGACGAGGUAAGCAGGUGAGGUGGCUCGACGCUGAUUCCGACUCCGAUGACGCUGCGUCCACCUACGCUUCCCCAUGCCGCCCCACCUACCGUGACGUCCUGCUACGACCAUCCCGUCCCAUCCCGUCCCGUCCCGUUACCCCCCCCCCCCGCCCCCUCCCCGAAGCUGGCCGCGCCCCGCGCCGCUCCCAUGGAGGCUGCCGCUACCGCACCUGUACGCAAGUGUUUGGGCCCGAGGAACGGGGUCCACCUUAGCCGCCGUCCAGACGGACAGCGCGGCGAGAGGACCCUGGUUCGUGGCCUUCCCCUGCGUCGGCCUGCUGAUAGAGGUACGGGUUGUAACCUCUGCUACCACAGCUACUAACCCACCCGCUGCUGCCCCGGAGGAACAAGGUUGGACAACUGAGGUGGGGCGACGCACUCGUUCCAGGCGACGUCGACGUCAGCGGCUUGCGCUGCGGCGCCAGGGCGCGGACGGCCCGCCGAGCAAGCCUAUCCCGCCGGAGUUCGUCGGCCGCUGCUUCAACUGCAUGUCCCACACCCACCUCAUCGCAACGUGCAGAUGCGACGAUGCCGCGGGUUUUGGCAUGCACUUGGCCAAGGACUGCAAGCGGCCUAGAAGCCCAGUCGGCUCGGUUUCUUCCGGCGGGGGAGGUAAUCGCGGUCUGGUCCCACCGCGCCACCGAUACCCCCACCGACGGCCUCGUCCACCGGGUACCCCGUCCGUGGCCGCCUCGUCAUGCGAGGGAUGGCACACGUCCGACAUGCUGCUGUCGGUCAUGCGGGAGGUUGGCAGGGGCAAGGGGCACCUCCGGCGCGUCCAGACCGUGGCCGCCCUUGGCGGAGGGGCCGUCAGGCUCACGAGAUGACGACGCCACACAUGAUCGUGUGCCACCUAUGUUCUACGACGAGGAUAGCCCGCCCGUCCAUCCUGCUACAAGGCGCACCGAGGAAACAUGUUUCAAACCCGGAGACAAAUGUGCUGCACCGGCCCGUGAUGCCCCUGUCACUGCAGCAGCCGUGCCAUACCGCGCCAGACGGCGUGCGCGUCCUUUCACCUGCACGGCGCACAUCUCCCAGGUUGCCUACUGCAACGGUAACCUCUCCUAGCGCGGCACACACCCCCCUGACGCGUCACGGGGGCCUCUCGAGCUCCAGAACUGUACGUCGCUCGACCUACCAGUGGAGAAGCUGCUGCCAUACAGGCCCGGUCACGUCGAGCUGUGGGUAGACCCCAUGCGCCUGGAGUCAACGUUGCAGGCACCGUUGUGCCCGCCAGCUGCUCCACAUGAAGCUACACAGGCGCCCACACCCUUCUUUCGCGCCUACAGGCGUGAACCGGCCCAAGCUCCUACCCCGCUAGCAGCAAGGUGCACUAGCCCACCGCACGAGCUGCCCGUGACGGCGUUGUUCUCAACACCGGUCAGGACCUACUCCCGCCGUGCUCGCCGUGGCGCAGACCACGCACCGCAGACUGAAGCAGGCCAGCAAUCCCCUCAGGUGCUAGCUGACGCCGCUUCCUGGAUUCCCGUGGCGAGCCGGGGUCCAACCGGGUCGCCAUCACGAAGCUCCCCUACGAACACGGCUCGACGGCCAAGCACUGCUCUUGCAACAACGAUUGCUCCUUCAUCACCAGGAGCAACGCUAGCGGCGCCCGGCUCCGCCACAAUUGCGAUGCCGAUGCUAGCGGCGCAAAUUAGGGAUAAUCAAUUGCGAUGCCGACGCUGAUCAUGCCGCCGCAAAGGAUUUCGACAAGUUGUUAAAGUCUACAAUGCAGCCGCAGCAUUUUGAGGCGCUCAGAGACAUCUUUUCGCUAGCUAACGAUCUGACAGAUGACAAACUCAUGCAGAUCGCGGCCAGCACUGGUACGGGGAGCACCUGACAUUUUGGUCGCCAGGUGUAACGCAGGAAGCGACGCUAUGGAGCGCGGCAGGAGUAGGACCUUCCUGCAUGGGGAGUUUUCAGCUGGCCGGCAUCCCUGAGCCACUAGUGGGCUAACGUUAUGUUCUUGUUUCUUAUGUAAAGGUUGCUCUAGUGCUUCAAUGUAACAACUAUUAGUAACACCGAACCCGUGUGCGUGUGCCCGCUUGAUCCACGUUGUAACAAACUUUCUCCUUCUUAAUGGAAAGAUACGCAGCUCUCUUGCG
rnacentral:lncRNA from 1 species